rnacentral:rRNA from 1 species
AACGCGAAGAACCUUACCUACCCUUGACAUCCUCGGAACCCAGCAGAGACGUUGGGGUGCCUGAAAGGGAGCCGAGAGACAGGUGCUGCAUGGCUGUCGUCAGCUCGUGUCGUGAGAUGUUGGGUUAAGUCCCGUAACGAGCGCAACCCCCAUCUUUAGUUGCUAGCAGGUAAAGCUGAGAACUCUAGAGAGACUGCCGGUGAUAAGCCGGAGGAAGGUGGGGAUGACGUCAAGUCCUCAUGGCCCUUACGGGUAGGGCCACACACGUGCUACAAUGGGCGGUACAAAGGGAAGCGAAGCCGUGAGGUGAAGCGAAAUCUACACUAAAGCCGCUCGUAGUCCGGAUUGGAGUCUGCAACUCGACUCCAUGAAGUUGGAAUCGCUAGUAAUCGCGGAUCAGAAUGUCGCGGUGAAUACGUUCCCGGGCCUUGUACACACCGGCUAC